GCGCCUCUCUCAAACACUCACGAGAAAAGAAAAGUCCUAGAGAGAGAAAGCUCGAGAAAGUUUGAGAGAGAGAGAGAGAGAGAGAAAUGGAGGCCUUCGUUUGCGAAACAGAGUCAUGGGUUUCUUCAAUCAAUGAAAUCCCAGAUGAGCAAACCAAUCAAUUGCUUCGAACAUCGUCAUCUUCUUCCGGAUUCACCCAAGAAACCGACGAGGAAGAAUGGCCGAAGCUUAACAGGUUGAAGAGCAAGAAGAAGAAGAAGAAGCAGGUUUUGCUUGAAGGGUACGUGGAGGCGGCGGACGACGAUGAUCUGUCGAGGACCAAGAGCUUGACGGACGAGGAUCUCGACGAGCUUAAAGGGUGUUUGGAUCUGGGAUUCGGGUUCAGCUACGAAGAGAUUCCGGAGCUCUGUAACACCUUGCCGGCUCUCGAGCUUUGUUACUCUAUGAGCCAGAAGUUCAUGGACGAGCACCAAAAGUCGCCGGAGAACUCUCCGGCCGCGGUCGAUUCGGUUUCGAGUCAAAUUGCCAGUUGGAAGAUCUCUAGUCCUGGUGACCAUCCCGAGGAUGUGAAAGAAAGGCUCAAAUACUGGGCACAGGCCGUGGCGUGCACUGUCAAAUUAUGCAACUGAGAAAGAUUUCGACUUAAUGGAUUAACCCUUUGAGGAAAUUUAAAGAAUUGAUGGACAACUUCUUCGAGAUCAAACACCUAUAUCGUCGACCUUGAUCUUGAGAUUGUGCUUAAUUGUUUUACUCUGUUAUGGCUCCUAUCAGGAAUGAAUGUUUCUGCUGUUCUAGAAGCUGUUGAUGAUGGAUGUAUAUUGAGGAAGAGGAAGAUGAAGAAUCUUUCAGCGGUGAGAGUCUCCAUUAGAGCUUCACCAAGUACUUGCUCACCUCUGCCUUUGCUGAGAUUUAUACCCUUUCGGCUGGAAUUAGAGACGCAGUUGGGGGGAGAGAGGACUGGAUGCCUUUGUCCUGACUGACCAUGAAAUUCCAUUCGUAAACUCGCAACUUCGUUUCUCUGAUUUGUUUUCAUGACAAUAGUUUCUCAUGAUUGUGCGAAGAACUGGAUUUUCGUAUUGAUGUCUAACGUUAUCGAAAUAUUCUAGCUGUUCUAAUUGAGUUAUAAAUGUUUCAACAGAGCAGUGAAACGAUGAUUUUCGUUUCGGAAA